CUUGAUUAGUUUGUUGGUGGGGUAAUGGCCUACCAAGACUGUGAUCUAUAGCUGAUCUGAGAGGAUGAUCAGCCACAUUGGGACUGAGACACGGCCCAAACUCCUACGGGAGGCAGCAGUAGGGAAUAUUGCACAAUGGAGGAAACUCUGAUGCAGCGAUGCCGCGUGAGUGAAGAAGGCCUUUGGGUUGUAAAGCUCUUUCGUCGGGGAAGAAAAUGACUGUACCCGAAUAAGAAGGUCCGGCUAACUUCGUGCCAGCAGCCGCGGUAAUACGAAGGGACCUAGCGUAGUUCGGAAUUACUGGGCUUAAAGAGUUCGUAGGUGGUUAAAAAAGUUGGUGGUGAAAUCCCAGAGCUUAACUCUGGAACUGCCAUCAAAACUUUUUAGCUAGAGUAUGAUAGAGGAAAGCAGAAUUUCUAGUGUAGAGGUGAAAUUCGUAGAUAUUAGAAAGAAUACCAAUUGCGAAGGCAGCUUUCUGGAUCAUUACUGACGCUGAGGAACGAAAGCAUGGGUAGCGAAGAGGAUUAGAUACCCUCGUAGUCCAUGCCGUAAACGAUGUGUGUUAGACGUUGGAAAUUUAUUUUCAGUGUCGCAGCGAAAGCAUUAAACACACCGCCUGGGGAGUACGACCGCAAGGUUAAAACUCAAAUGAAUUGACGGGGACCCGCACAAGUAGUGGAGCAUGUGGUUUAAUUCGAAGAUACGCGCAGAACCUUACCAACACUUGACAUGUUCGUCGCGACUCUAAGAGAUUAGAGUUUUCGGUUCGGCCGGACGAAACACAGGUGCUGCAUGGCUGUCGUCAGCUCGUGUCGUGAGAUGUA
rnacentral:rRNA from 1 species